rnacentral:rRNA from 1 species
UACAGAGGUCUCAAGCGUUGUUCGGAUUCAUUGGGCGUAAAGGGUGCGUAGGCGGCGCGGUAAGUCGGGUGUGAAAUCUUGGAGCUUAACUCCGAAACUGCAUUCGAUACUGCCGCGCUUGAGGACUGGAGAGGAGACUGGAAUUUACGGUGUAGCGGUGAAAUGCGUAGAUAUCGGGAGGAACACCAGUGGCGAAGGCGCCUUCCUGGCCUGUAACUGACGCUGAGACGCGAAAGCGUGGGGAGCAAACCGG